rnacentral:rRNA from 1 species
UACGUAGGGGGCAAGCGUUGUCCGGAAUUAUUGGGCGUAAAGAGCUCGUAGGCGGUCUGUCGCGUCUGCUGUGAAAACUCGGGGCUUAACCCCGGGCCUGCAGUGGGUACGGGCAGACUAGAGUGCGGUAGGGGAGACUGGAAUUCCUGGUGUAGCGGUGAAAUGCGCAGAUAUCAGGAGGAACACCGGUGGCGAAGGCGGGGUCUCUGGGCCGUAACUGACGCUGGAGGAGCGAAAGCGUGGGGAGCGAACAGG